rfam:Oryza sativa (indica cultivar-group) chromosome 8, whole genome shotgun sequence.
UCUGGUUUCGUGUCCAAUGUUUGACCGUCCAUCUUAUUUAAAAAAAUUAUAAAAAAAAUUAAAAUGACAAGUCACGUAUAAAUAUUAACCAUGUUUUAUCAUCUAACAACAAUGAAAAUACAAAUUAUAAAAAAAUUUCAUAUAAGACGGACAGUCAAAGUUAGACACGAAAUCCCAGGGUUUGCUUUUUU